AUUGAACGCUGGCGGCAGGCCUAACACAUGCAAGUCGAACGCGUGGCGGAAGGGUGAGUAAUGUCUGGGACACUGCCUGAUGGAGGGGGAUAACUCCUGUAAACGAUAGCUAAUACCGCUUACCAUCGGAUCUGCCCAGAUGGGAUUAGAUAGUAGGUGGGGUAAAGGCCAACCUAGGCGACGAUCGGUAGCUGGUCUGAGAGGAUGACCAGCGACGCGGAAACGGAGGCACGGUCCAGACUCCUACGUGAGGCAGGAGUGGGGAAUAGUGAACAAUUGGAGCAAGCCUGAUGCAGCCAUGCCGCGUGGAUGAAGAAGGCCUUCGGGUUGUAAAGCACUUUCAGUGAGGAGGCGUUGCUCUCAGAAGAAGCACCGGCUAACUCCGUGCCAGCGGCCGGGGUAAUAC
rnacentral:rRNA from 1 species